CCCCUUUUGGGUUCUAGAUUAGGAGAUAUUGUCAACAAUUUGUUUUCUUCCCUUGCCUUCCUUUCAAGUUCUUCCUUCUCUCGCUUUUCUUCCCCUUCUCUCUUUUCUGUCUCUCUUCUUAUUUUCUCUUUUUCUUCCUCUUCUUUCCUAUGUUGCUCUAUUUUUUCUUCCUCUUCUAUUCUCACUUGUUCUCUUCGUCUCUCUCUUUCUCUUCUUCUUUCAUCUUCUCUUUUUCUCUCUUUUCUUCUCUCUUGUCUCUCUAUUCUCUCUUGUAAUUGCCUAUGUUCUCUCUCAAAUCUUCUUCUACUUCCCUCACCCUCACUCAAAAACUUCAUGAGUUUGUCUCUAAACUCUAUUUCCCUUU
rnacentral:lncRNA from 1 species